AGUGAACGCUGGCGGUAGGCCUAACACAUGCAAGUCGAACGGCAGCACAGUAAGAGCUUGCUCUUACGGGUGGCGAGUGGCGGACGGGUGAGGAAUACACCGGAAUCUACUUUUUCGUGGGGGAUAACGUAGGGAAACUUACGCUAAUACCGCAUACGACCUACGGGUGAAAGCAGGGGAUCUUCGGACCUUGCGCGAUUGAAUGAGCCGAUGUCGGAUUAGCUAGUUGGCGGGGUAAAGGCCCACCAAGGCGACGAUCCGUAGCUGGUCUGAGAGGAUGAUCAGCCACACUGGAACUGAGACACGGUCCAGACUCCUACGGGAGGCAGCAGUGGGGAAUAUUGGACAAUGGGCGCAAGCCUGAUCCAGCCAUACCGCGUGGGUGAAGAAGGCCUUCGGGUUGUAGAGCCCUUUUGUUGGGAAAGAAAAGCAGCAGGUUAAUACCCCGCUGUUCUGACGGUACCCUAAGAAUAAGCACCGGCUAACUUCGUG
rnacentral:rRNA from 1 species